AGCAGCCGCGGUAAUUCCAGCUCCAAUAGCGUAUAUUAAAGUUGUUGCAGUUAAAAAGCUCGUAGUUGAAUUUCGGGGUCAGUAAGUUGGUCGUGCCACUGGUAUGUACUGGCUUUACUGAUUCCUCCUUCUUGUAGAACCGUAAUGCCAUUAAGUUGGUGUUGCGGGAAAACAGGACUGUUACUUUGAAAAAAUUAGAGUGUUUAAAGCAAGCUAACGCUUGAAUACAUUAGCAUGGAAUAAUGAAAUAGGACGUUCGAUCCUAUUUUGUUGGUUUCUAGGAUUGACGUAAUGAUUAAUAGGGAUAGUUGGGGGCAUUAGUAUUCAAUUGUCAGAGGUGAAAUUCUUGGAUUUAUUGAAGACUAACUACUGCGAAAGCAUUUGCCAAGGAUGUUUUCAUUAAUCAAGAACGAAAGUUAGGGGAUCGAAGACGAUCAGAUACCGUCGUAGUCUUAACCAUAAACUAUGCCGACUAGGGAUCGGAUGAUGUUAAUUUUUUAAUGACUCAUUCGGCGCCUUA
rnacentral:rRNA from 1 species